GGGGGCGUGGCGGAACGGUAGACGCAGGGGUCUUAAAAACCUCGGCCUUCACGGCGUGUGGGUUCGAGUCCCACCGCCCCUACCA
rnacentral:tRNA from 3 species